rnacentral:rRNA from 1 species
UACGUAGGGGGCGAGCGUUGUCCGGAUUUAUUGGGCGUAAAGCGUCCGCAGGCGGUCUUCUAAGUUUGGGGUGACAGUUCCCGGCUCAACUGGGGAAGUACUUCGAAAACUGGAAGACUUGAGGGCUUGAGAGGAAAGCGGAAUUCCGGGUGGAGUGGUGAAAUGCGGAGAGAUCCGGAGGAACACCGAAGGCGAAGGCAGUGUCCGGGCGAGUGACUGACGCGGAGGUGUGAAAGCUAGGGGAGCGAACGGG